AGAGAAGAAGAGAAAUGCCAAGAAGUUGGAGAAGGAAAGCUGCUGUCGAGGAUCAAAAGAUGCAAGGAGGUGACUGAGAUGUAAUCUUAGAGGAAAUCAACAGGCCCAAGAAACUUCAAAAGAACAAAAACCUGGAGUUGAGCAAGUGGAUCCUCAUCGGGUCCCCUGUCACACGUCGUCAGGAAGA